rnacentral:rRNA from 1 species
UACGGAGGGUGCAAGCGUUAUCCGGAUUCACUGGGUUUAAAGGGUGCGUAGGUGGGCAGGUAAGUCAGUGGUGAAAUCUCCGGGCUUAACCCGGAAACUGCCAUUGAUACUAUCUGUCUUGAAUACCGUGGAGGUGAGCGGAAUAUGUCAUGUAGCGGUGAAAUGCUUAGAUAUGACAUAGAACACCUAAUUGCGAAGGCAGCUCACUACGCGAAUAUUGACACUGAGGCACGAAAGCGUGGGGAUCAAACAGG